rfam:Triticum aestivum genome assembly, contig: Triticum_aestivum_CS42_TGACv1_scaffold_556137_7AL
CAGGUACUUCCUUUGUUUGAAAAAUACUUGUCAUCUAAAUAAAUAAAAAGGAAUAUAUGUAGAACUAAAAUACAUCUAGAUAUAUUUUCUUUUGUUCAUUUUAAUGACAAGUAUUUUUAGACGAACGGAGUAUAAU